UUGUUGGAAAUAAAGUCGAUAUAGUAAGUUCUAAUUCUUUCUUCGUGAGUGUAUGUAUGCAUGAAAGACUAAAAUCACUUAAUGAAGAGUUCACCUGGAAUCCAAUUGAACUCUCUUUUAAUGAUCUUACUUUGGCAAUGUCCUACUGCACUGUAAUUGGUGCCCCAUAACUCUGCAUACUCUCUAGCAUUAUUGCCCCUAUUUUGGACUACGACAACUAGUGCUUGGAUAUUUGGAUGUCUAAUUUGUGGUUCCAUAUCCUGUCUGUAAUCACCAUGUGAACUCAAAAAUUUGGUAAUCGAGUCAUUCAGUAAUCAUUGGAAAUUACUAAGAAAUUUAGAAGGUUUACAAAUUUGAAUUUGUCUUAUGCAUCCUCUUUACUACUAGCUCUCCUGGGGAUGACAGAAAUUUAUUUUAUAUUCUACUCUGCUAAGUGCUAACUGAUCUUUGAUGUCUUCAUAUUGCAUCUUUGAUGUCUCUUUCUGGUAUAUUGAAUCAGUAACAGGCAUGAUAAUUUGCAUGUACAAAUGGAUAUUUGGAAAAAACUUCUUUCCCUAGCUGUUUUAGACACACAAAUUGUUAAGUUGCAAACUUGCUUGUUUUAUUUCUUCUAUUUUUUCCUCCUUUUUUUAAUGCCAUAAAAUUACUUGAGAAGGGAAAAGAAAAGAGUGAAAACUGACUCCUAAUUAUUCUUAUUUAAUGGCAUUCUUGUUCUAUUUGUGCAUGAUUU
rnacentral:misc_RNA from 1 species